UACGUAGGGUGCAAGCGUUAAUCGGAAUUACUGGGCGUAAAGCGUGCGCAGGCGGUUAUGUAAGACAGAUGUGAAAUGCCCGGGCUUAACCUGGGAACUGCAUUUGUGACUGCAUGGCUAGAGUUUGGCAGAGGGGGGGUAGAAUUCCACGUGUAGCAGUGAAAUGCGUAGAUAUGUGGAGGAACACCGAUGGCGAAGGCAGCCCCCUGGGUCAAGACUGACGCUCAUGCACGAAAGCGUGGGGAGCAAACAGGAUUAGAGUACCCUGGUGA
rnacentral:rRNA from 1 species